rnacentral:rRNA from 1 species
GACGAACGCUGGCGGCGUGCUUAACACAUGCAAGUCGAACGGAAAGGCUCCUGCUUGCAGGGGUACUCGAGUGGCGAACGGGUGAGUAACACGUGGGUGAUCUGCCUUGUACUCUGGGAUAAGCUUGGGAAACUGGGUCUAAUACCGGAUAAUAACUGCCUUUAGUGUGGUGGUUGGAAAGUUUUUUCGGUGCAAGAUGAGCUCGCGGCCUAUCAGCUUGUUGGUGGGGUAAUGGCCUACCAAGGCGUCGACGGGUAGCCGGCCUGAGAGGGUGUACGGCCACAUUGGGACUGAGAUACGGCCCAGACUCCUACGGGAGGCAGCAGUGGGGAAUAUUGCACAAUGGGCGGAAGCCUGAUGCAGCGACGCCGCGUGGGGGAUGACGGCCUUCGGGUUGUAAACUCCUUUCGACAGGGACGAAGCUUUUUGUGACGGUACCUGUAGAAGAAGCACCGGCUAACUACGUG